rnacentral:rRNA from 1 species
UACGUAGGGUGCAAGCGUUGUCCGGAAUUAUUGGGCGUAAAGAGCUCGUAGGCGGUCUGUCGCGUCUGCUGUGAAAACUCAGGGCUUAACCCUGAGCUUGCAGUGGGUACGGGCAGACUAGAGUGCGGUAGGGGAGACUGGAAUUCCUGGUGUAGCGGUGAAAUGCGCAGAUAUCAGGAGGAACACCGGUGGCGAAGGCGGGUCUCUGGGCUGUAACUGACGCUGAGGAGCGAAAGCGUGGGGAGCAAACAGG